GUGCACCAGUCGCGAAAACUUUACAAUGUGCGAAAGCACGAUAAGGGAACUCUGAGUGCCUCCUAAGGAGGCUGUUCAGGUGUCUAAAAAGCACCUGGAGUAAGGGCUGGGUAAGACCGGUGCCAGCCGCCGCGGUAACACCGGCAGCCCAGGUGGUAGCCACUUUUAUUGGGUCUAAAGCGUCCGUAGCCGGUUGAGUAAGUUCCUUGGGAAAUUUGGCUGCUCAACAGUCAAGCUUCCAGGGAAUACUGCUCGACUUGGGACUGGGAGAGGUCAGAGGUACUCCAGGGGUAGGGUGAAAUCCAUUAAUCCCUGGGGGACCACCGGUAGCGAAGGCGUCUGACCAGACCAGGUCCGACGGUGAGGGACGAAGGCUAGGGUCGCGAACCGGAUUAGAUACCCGUGUAGU
rnacentral:rRNA from 1 species